GGGCAUUGUUGGUCAUCUAGACUCCACAGGUCUCCUGUUCUAAGUCUGGGAUAUUCAAAUACCUCUUGUGUCCACAGCUCCCAGGCCUGAACCAUAAGCAGCAGCCCUGCUGCCAGAUAGAUGUCUUGACUGCUGUCCUAUCUUGACUAGGCUCAUUCUCUGAGGGGGAGUAGGUUUUGAGCCAGAGCAAACCCAGGGUUAUAACGCUGUCCCCUUCAAAGCUCACUUUUGUGAUUUUGGUUUUCUCACUGUUGUACUUGGCAGACCUUAGUUUCCAGAUCUAUAUAGUGCGGGUCCCAUGGGGCAUUAGAGCCCCAAGGCUAAAUGAGGCUGCUCAGUGGAGUGGUGCCCGUGGCCCUGGCUUCUACUAAAUUUGUUUUGCCGGGGCUGCUGGAAGUCUUCCCUGUCUUGUUGUCUUUCUGGGAAUCUUGGCUUUUAUCUUCAGUGCUCAUUGAGUCUCUUUUUAAAUGCAGACGUCUCUGGCUGCCUAUCUGCUUUCAUUUGGGCACGUCUGCUGACACUUUUCUGUGAGUUUAUUAGAUGUGUUUUGGAGUCAUGUGGCAAAAGGAAAGGGAAAUGAGAAGGGAGAUUUAGAGCCUGCCCUGACUUCUGGGGAGAUCCACCCCCCCCAGAUUCUCCAUUGCUGACAGAUGCUGCUGCUAGAGCUCACAAUUAGUCUGGUCAGACCCCCAUGUGUUUCACGCAUAGCUCUACCCCCAGGCCGGAGUGGGCUAGGAGAAUGGCGUGCAUAGAUGUAUGGAUGGCGUGGGUCCUCCUUCCUCACAGGGUGGUCAGCAGACAGUUGUUACUGAGCUAAAUAACAUUUCAUUUUGUAGAGCAAAAAUAGUGGAAGCCCAGUGUGGUGGCUUAGCGUGUAAUCCCAGCUACUUAGAAGGCUGACAGAGAAUCACAAGUUCAAGGCCAGCCUGGGCAACUCCGCAAGACUCUUUCUCAGAAUGGGGGGUGGGGAGAAGUGCUGGGGGUGUAACUCAGUGGUAGAGCACCUCUGGGUUCAGUCCCCAGUCCUGCCAAAAUAGUGGAAGGUUUCUAUUUCAUACUGUUCUGCUAAGUGUCAUGCCAAGAGUACAUGAGAAGCAUCGGGAAAGGAGGGGAGGCUUUCUGUGGUGUUGGUGGUACAGAGGGGGUGGAACCUGGGGCCUUGAACACUUGGGAUCUUCCUGCCUCCACCUCCUCAGUAGCUGGCAUGGGCCUCCUCACCUGGCUGCCUCCUUUUGAUCUGUGUGUGUUAAU
rnacentral:lncRNA from 1 species